rnacentral:rRNA from 1 species
CUGACGAGUGGCGGACGGGUGAGUAAUGUCUGGGGAUCUGCCUGAUGGAGGGGGAUAACUACUGGAAACGGUAGCUAAUACCGCAUAAUGUCGCAAGACCAAAGCGGGGGACUUUCGGGCCUCGCACCAUCAGAUGAACCCAGAUGGGAUUAGCUAGUAGGUAAGGUAAUGGCUUACCUAGGCGACGAUCCCUAGCUGGUCUGAGAGGAUGACCAGCCACACUGGAACUGAGACACGGUCCAGACUCCUACGGGAGGCAGCAGUGGGGAAUAUUGCACAAUGGGCGCAAGCCUGAUGCAGCCAUGCCGCGUGUAUGAAGAAGGCCUUCGGGUUGUACAGUUCUUUCNCUCACGAUGAAGGGUGGGAAAUUAAGANUAUCGUGNGUUGACGUUACUG